rnacentral:rRNA from 1 species
AGCGACAGGCCUAACACAUGCAAGUCAGGGGCAGCACAAGGAGCAAUCUGAGGUGGCGACCGGCGCACGGGUGAGUAACACGUAUGCAACCUGCCUGUAAGCGGGGAAUAACCCGUUGAAAGACGGACUAAUACCGCAUAAUACUAAAUUACUGCAUGGUAAUUUAUUUAAACAUUUAUGGCUUACAGAUGGGCAUGCGCAUGAUUAGCUAGUUGGAGAGGUAACGGCUCCCCAAGGCAACGAUCAUUAGGGGUUCUGAGAGGAAGGUCCCCCACACUGGUACUGAGACACGGACCAGACUCCUACGGGAGGCAGCAGUGAGGAAUAUUGGUCAAUGGACGAGAGUCUGAACCAGCCAAGUCGCGUGCAGGAAGAAUGUCCUAUGGAUUGUAAACUGCUUUUGCAGGGGAAUAAAGUGCAUCACGUGUGAUGUUUUGUAUGUACUCUGCGAAUAAGGAUCGGCUAACUCCGUGCCAGCAGCAGC